UUUGUUGUCACCACGAAUGUAGUACAGAAAAACUCUCAUAAAAAAGCAAUGUACACAAGAACUGUGCACACAUUGUCAUUUUGAAGAACAACAUAAUACAGGGAGUGGCAUGCACCCCUUUUUUGUCCUGGAAUUAGCAAUGGCAUGUACCACAAGUUUUGUCCGACUAAGGAUUGGCAUGCGCGGAGCCGCGGACAAUAGCUGGUUACUAAUUAUCCAUGUUUAUUUGCAGCCAAGAUUGAUAUGUGCAUAAAUGUCAUGCACCACAAGUAUUUUCUGGCUAAUAGGGAAUGUUACACAUGCCUAAUACUGUUGAUUUCCUAUUCAUCUGAUGGUAACGGCGCAGCAAGCAGCAUACUGCUGCUACCGCUGUUUUUAGGUGCAGCAAACAGCACAGGUCCUCAGCGGCAUGGCCAAUUCCCAACUGAUGCAACUAUGGGAUUCCUAGGGUGGACACGCACGAACCUGAACGGUGGCAGUGGAUGGGAACAGCGGCGGCGGAGGUGAUGCGAGGAGCUUCAUCGCCGGUCACGGUCUUCCCUCGAGAUUCAGCUGGG
rnacentral:lncRNA from 1 species